rnacentral:rRNA from 1 species
UCGAGCGGGAACGACGGUACUUGCUAUGUUGUUUCUAGCGGCGGACGGGUGAGUAACGCGUGAGCACCUGCCUUUAUCAGGGGGAUAACGCAUCGAAAGAUGUGCUAAUACCGCGUAAGUUCACACGGACAAAGGAGCAAUCCGCUGAAAGAUGGGCUCGCGUCCGAUUAGAUAGUUGGUGAGGUAACGGCUCACCAAGUCGACGAUCGGUAGCCGGACUGAGAGGUUGAACGGCCACAUUGGGACUGAGACACGGCCCAGACUCCUACGGGAGGCAGCAGUGGGGAAUAUUGCACAAUGGGCGAAAGCCUGAUGCAGCAACGCCGCGUGAGGGAAGACGGUUUUCGGAUUGUAAACCUCUGUUUUCGGUGACGAACAAAUGACGGUAACCGAGUAGGAAGCCACGGCUAACUACGUGCCAGCAGCCGCGGUAAUACGUAGGUGGCAAGCGUUAUCCGGAAUUACUGGGUGUAAAGGGAGCGCAGGCGGGAUAGCAAGUCAGCUGUGAAAACUAUGGGCUCAACCCAUAAACUGCAGUUGAAACUGUUAUUCUUGAGUGGAGUAGAGGCAAGCGGAAUUCCGAGUGUAGCGGUGAAAUGCGUAGAUAUUCGGAGGAACACCAGUGGCGAAGGCGGCUUGCUGGGCUCUAACUGACGCUGAGGCUCGAAAGUGUGGGGAGCAAACAGGAUUAGAUACCCUGGUAGCCCACACUGUAAACGAUGAUUGCUAGGUGUGGGGGUCUGACCCUCCGUGCCGGAGUUAACGCAAUAAG